rnacentral:lncRNA from 1 species
GUUGUUUGAUGAUUUUAAGUUGUUUUAAGUGCUUUUGAAUAAGCUAUAAGUUAACUAAUUGAUUGGUAUGUGUUUUAGAACCUUUAAACUUCAGUUUCGUGGGUUUUAAGUGAUUAUUUGAGGAACCCCAGGUCCAAAACGCAAUUCUGCAGAAUCGCGUCGAAAACUGGCCGACGCUAUGAUCGACGCUACUGUUUGUUUGAUUUUUUUUAACUUUUGUUGACUUAUGCACCCGGAACCUAUUUUCCACAGUUUUUCGCGUAGAUUCCAUUUCCGGGGUUAGUUUUCUGAGAUAAGGCUUGGUUUAUACAGUUUGCUUAUAUGUUGGCAUACUUUAUAUAUAUUUGAUGUAGUUCGUAUGCUUAUAUUUGAUUGAAUGUACUUCUCAUUUAUUGAAGCAUGACUUGGGAGUAUUUAUUAGGUUUCGAAAAGAUGUUUAUGAGUAAUUUAAUAAGUGUAUACUUGUUAAUUGUUUUGUAAUAGUUGAUUGUUGUGUUGAUGAAUGAGAUAUUAUAGUUGAGACAUGAUGAUGAGUAUUAUUG